rnacentral:rRNA from 1 species
UACGAAGGGGGCUAGCGUUGCUCGGAAUCACUGGGCGUAAAGCACACGUAGGCGGCUUUUUAAGUCAGGGGUGAAAUCCUGGAGCUCAACUCCAGAACUGCCUUUGAUACUGAGAGGCUCGAGUCCGGGAGAGGUGAGUGGAACUGCGAGUGUAGAGGUGAAAUUCGUAGAUAUUCGCAAGAACACCAGCGGCGAAGGCAGCUCACUGGCCCGGUACUGACGCUGAGGUGCGAAAGCGUGGGGAGCAAACAGG